UACCAGCACCCCGAGUGGUCGGGACGUUUAUUGGGCCUAAAGCAUCCGUAGCCGGUUCUACAUGUCUUCCGUUAAAUCCAACUGCUUAACAGGUGGGCUGCGGAAGAUACUAUAGAGCUAGGAGGCGGGAGAGGCAAGCGGUACUCGAUGGGUAGGGGUAAAAUCCGUUGAUCCAUUGAAGACCACCAGUGGCGAAGGCGGCUUGCCAGAACGCGCUCGACGGUGAGGGAUGAAAGCUGGGGGAGCAAACCGG
rnacentral:rRNA from 1 species